CUGUGAUUUAUUGAGAGCUUACUAUGCACCACGUGUUAUGCUAAGCAUUUCACAAGCCUUUAGCUCACUUAAUGAGGACAGAAUCCUGCUGGGACGACACCAUAAUUUUUUCCAUUUUACAGAUGAAGAUUUAAGGCUUAGAGAGAGGUUAAGUAAGUAGCCUGAGGUCGGGAUGCUAAAAGCGGUGAAGGCAGGAGGGAGCCCCGGCCCGUCUGGGUCCAAGCCGGUCCAAGCCACUGCUCUCCUACUCCUUUCCCCACGGCCACAGGAAAGAGACCAGUGCAUACUUCCACCCCUUCGCAACAGCUGAAAAAACAGUGCCCUAGAACCAGUCCAUCCACUCCGACCAGAGCUCAGCAUUUCCAGCCAGCCCUCCACGAGGUUUGUUCUAAUUCCUACCUGGAUAAUGGUUUCAGAAGACAGAAGACAAAUUAGUGGAGACUUGGUUGGUGUGCUAGGACGUCAACAGAGGCCUCAGCUGACUGGCCACCAGCUCCAGCUCUACCAGCGUCAGCACGCCUGUGUCAGGAGCAAGCCCUCUUCCUCGCUCACGCUUCCUUCCUCGUGUGCCCCAGAUCCCACUGCAGGAUGGAGAAGGCGCCUUGGGGGAAAGCCGAGUCCGGCCCGCCCCCAGAGUCACCCCCCAGAGUCGCUGCGGCAGGCCUACCGUGCACGUCUGACUGUUCUCGCGUCCCCCUUUGGGCUUCCCCUCGCCCGCCUCCUGAGCCAUCUCUCAGCAGCCUUCGCACAGUCCAGAGGCACCGCUAGGUCUCACGCUCACAGGCACAAGCCCGUGCCAGAGGUGAGCACGUUUUCAGCAGAAACUUCCGGGUUUCCGACUUUCUC